rnacentral:rRNA from 1 species
CUUGCUAAAAUAUAAGAGGUCCAGCCUGCCCAGUGAUCCAGUUCAACGGCCGCGGUAUCCUAACCGUGCGAAGGUAGCGUAAUCACUUGUUCUUUAAAUGGGGACUAGUAUGAAUGGCAUCACGAGGGUUGAACUGUCUCCUUUCUCUAAUCAGUGAAACUAAUCUCCCCGUGAAGAAGCGGGAAUCAUUUUAUAAGACGAGAAGACCCUAUGGAGCUUAAAACAAAUUGACACAUGCUUCCACCUACUUCAAUUCCUGAAUAAAUAUAUAAAAUAUAGCAUCAUUGAUUAAUAGUUUUAGAUUGGGGUGAUCAUGGAGCAAAAAACAACCUCCACGACGAAAAGGAAUAUUCCCUGAGCCAAAAGCCACAACUUUAAGCACUAAAAAAUUAACGCAUCUUGACCCAAUUUUUUGAGCAACGAAC